rnacentral:rRNA from 1 species
CGGGAAAAGCUCAAAUUUAAAAUCUGGUGGCCGAAAGGUUGCCCGAGUUGUAAUUUGUAGAGGAUGUUUCGGAUAAGGCUUUGGUUUAAGUUUCUUGGAACAGAACGUCAUAGAGGGUGAGAAUCCCGUCUAGAACCGAUAGCCACGUUCAUGUGAAACUCCUUCGAC